rnacentral:rRNA from 1 species
GACGAACGCUGGCGGCGUGCUUAACACAUGCAAGUCGAACGGAAAGGCCCCUUUGGGGGUACUCGAGUGGCGAACGGGUGAGUAACACGUGAGUAACCUGCCCUUGACUUCGGGAUAACUUCAGGAAACUGGGGCUAAUACCGGAUAGGAAUCCUUGCUGCAUGGUGGGGGUUGGAAAGCUUCGGCGGUUUUGGAUGGACUCGCGGCUUAUCAGCUGGUUGGUGGGGUAGUGGCUUACCAAGGCUUUGACGGGUAGCCGGCCCGAGAGGGCGACCGGCCACAUUGGGACUGCGUUCCGGCCCAGACUCCUACGGGAGGCAGCAGGGGGGAAUCUUGCACAAGGGGCGGAAGCCUGAUGCAGAAACGCCGCGUGCGGGAGGACGGCCUUCGGGUUGGAAACCGCUUUCAGCAGGGGCGAAGCUUGUGGUGACGGUACCUGAAGAAGAAGCACCGGCUAACUACGUG